rnacentral:rRNA from 1 species
AUAACUAUAAGUAAGGUCUGCUCCAUGAAAUAUAAAUAGCCGCAGAAUUUUAACUGUGCUAAGGUAGCAUAAUCAUUUACCUUCUAAUUGAAGGUUUGUAUGAAAGAUUUUACAUUUAAAUUUCUUUUUUAUAAAUAUUUAUCUAAUUUCAAUUAAAAAUAAAAAUGUUUUUAUCCAUAAAAAAGACGAUAAGACCCUAUUGAACUUUACUAAAGUUUAGCUGGGGAAGCUAACUAAAUAUAAUUUUAAUUUUAAAAUUAUUAAUAAACCCCUAAUAAAAUUAUAAUCAACAAGUUACCAUAGGGAUAACAGCGUAAUAUAAUUUUAUAGCUCCUAUUAAAAAUUGGGAUUACGACCUCGAUGUUGAAUUAGAAAAUCUUCAAACCGCAAUAGUUUAAAAGAAGGUCUGU